GUCUAGCCCCGAUAGAGCCGAUAUCCUUUUAUGGCGGGGUUCGCCGUAAAAGAUAUAGGUGAAAGCGGGACUAAAG
rnacentral:sRNA from 1 species